GCACCCGCGGUAAUUCCAGCUCCAAUAGCGUAUAUUAAAGUUGUUGCAGUUAAAAAGCUCGUAGUUGGAUUUCUGCCGAGGACGACCGGUCCGCCCUCUGGGUGCGUAUCUGGCUCGGCUUGGGCAUCUUCUUGGAGAACGUAUCUGCACUUGACUGUGUGGUGCGGUAUCCAGGACUUUUACUUUGAGGAGAUUAGAGUGUUUCAAGCAGGCACACGCCUUGAAUACAUUAGCAUGGAAUAAUAAGAUAGGACCUCGGUUCUAUUUUGUUGGUUUCUAGAGCUGAGGUAAUGAUUAAUAGGGAUAGUUGGGGGCAUUCGUAUUUAACUGUCAGAGGUGAAAUUCUUGGAUUUGUUAAAGACGGACCACUGCGAAAGCAUUUGCCAAGGAUGUUUUCAUUAAUCAAGAACGAAAGU
rnacentral:rRNA from 1 species